rnacentral:rRNA from 1 species
UACGAAGGGGGCUAGCGUUGCUCGGAAUUACUGGGCGUAAAGGGCGCGUAGGCGGAUAGUUUAGUCAGAGGUAAAAGCCCAGGGCUCAACCUUGGAACUGCCUUUGAUACUGGCUAUCUUGAGUUCGGGAGAGGUGAGUGGAAUGCCGAGUGUAGAGGUGAAAUUCGUAGAUAUUCGGCGGAACACCAGUGGCGAAGGCGACUCACUGGCCCGAUACUGACGCUGAGGCGCGAAAGCGUGGGGAGCAA